rnacentral:tRNA from 1 species
GCCUGGGUGGCUGAGUCUUAGGUUAAGCGUCUGACUUCGGCUCAGGUCAUGAUUUCACAGUUUGUGAGUUCAAGUCCCUCCUCAGGCU